rnacentral:rRNA from 2 species
GACGAACGCUGGCGGCGUGCCUAAUACAUGCAAGUCGAACGAACUCUGGUAUUGAUUGGUGCUUGCAUCAUGAUUUACAUUUGAGUGAGUGGCGAACUGGUGAGUAACACGUGGGAAACCUGCCCAGAAGCGGGGGAUAACACCUGGAAACAGAUGCUAAUACCGCAUAACAACUUGGACCGCAUGGUCCGAGUUUGAAAGAUGGCUUCGGCUAUCACUUUUGGAUGGUCCCGCGGCGUAUUAGCUAGAUGGUGGGGUAACGGCUCACCAUGGCAAUGAUACGUAGCCGACCUGAGAGGGUAAUCGGCCACAUUGGGACUGAGACACGGCCCAAACUCCUACGGGAGGCAGCAGUAGGGAAUCUUCCACAAUGGACGAAAGUCUGAUGGAGCAACGCCGCGUGAGUGAAGAAGGGUUUCGGCUCGUAAAACUCUGUUGUUAAAGAAGAACAUAUCUGAGAGUAACUGUUCAGGUAUUGACGGUAUUUAACCAGAAAGCCACGGCUAACUACGUGCCAGCAGCCGCGGUAAUACGUAGGUGGCAAGCGUUGUCCGGAUUUAUUGGGCGUAAAGCGAGCGCAGGCGGUUUUUUAAGUCUGAUGUGAAAGCCUUCGGCUCAACCGAAGAAGUGCAUCGGAAACUGGGAAACUUGAGUGCAGAAGAGGACAGUGGAACUCCAUGUGUAGCGGUGAAAUGCGUAGAUAUAUGGAAGAACACCAGUGGCGAAGGCGGCUGUCUGGUCUGUAACUGACGCUGAGGCUCGAAAGUAUGGGUAGCAAACAGGAUUAGAUACCCUGGUAGUCCAUACCGUAAACGAUGAAUGCUAAGUGUUGGAGGGUUUCCGCCCUUCAGUGCUGCAGCUAACGCAUUAAGCAUUCCGCCUGGGGAGUACGGCCGCAAGGCUGAAACUCAAAGGAAUUGACGGGGGCCCGCACAAGCGGUGGAGCAUGUGGUUUAAUUCGAAGCUACGCGAAGAACCUUACCAGGUCUUGACAUACUAUGCAAAUCUAAGAGAUUAGACGUUCCCUUCGGGGACAUGGAUACAGGUGGUGCAUGGUUGUCGUCAGCUCGUGUCGUGAGAUGUUGGGUUAAGUCCCGCAACGAGCGCAACCCUUAUUAUCAGUUGCCAGCAUUAAGUUGGGCACUCUGGUGAGACUGCCGGUGACAAACCGGAGGAAGGUGGGGAUGACGUCAAAUCAUCAUGCCCCUUAUGACCUGGGCUACACACGUGCUACAAUGGAUGGUACAACGAGUUGCGAACUCGCGAGAGUAAGCUAAUCUCUUAAAGCCAUUCUCAGUUCGGAUUGUAGGCUGCAACUCGCCUACAUGAAGUCGGAAUCGCUAGUAAUCGCGGAUCAGCAUGCCGCGGUGAAUACGUUCCCGGGCCUUGUACACACCGCCCGUCACACCAUGAGAGUUUGUAACACCCAAAGUCGGUGGGGUAACCUUUUAGGAACCAGCCGCCUAAGGUGAGACAGAUGAUUAGGGUG